UGAUUAAUGAUUUAUUCAAAACAAAGGUAGAAAUGAAUGAAAAUUGAGACUAAUGAUGGCGUGAGCCAUAUACAAUGAGUAAAACAUGUCUGGACUUUGAUGUCCAACACAAAAGACGUAUAUUCCGUAUUCUUGAUAUAAGGCGUCCGCUAGGCCCAUGUUGGGAAUAUCCAAGGAUCUUGGGCUUGAUCUUUGUGUUCAUAUAUUUUCAUUCUAGUAUUAUAAUUGGAUCAAUGAAAUAACCAAUCAAUAAGUAAAUAAAUUAAUGGAGUAUUGUUCAAAUUAAAAAUAUGUAGUGAGCAAAAAUACACUACUAAUAUAUUAUGAAAACACUAAAUUCUAAUUUGAAAUACAUUUUACAUGACUCUUACCUCCUUAGCUCAGGAUGGCGUAGAUGGUAUAAGUUACAGACACUGUUCAUGUUCUGGAUAGAUGGCGAUUUUGAAUUUAUUCAUUCUCUUAAGAGAAAAAAAUACUCUAAAUGUGUGAUUACUGAAAUGACUGACUAAAGGUGAAAAGCAAGGAUCAAUGGAGAGAACGUCUCAGAUGUCUAUUCUCCUUCUUCGUUUUAAAAUCAUCUGUUCUGUCCUGUAUUUCUCACACUGGACUCAUCUGAGCUGAUUUAAGAAUUCUCACAUGGUUAUGACUGUAUGACUGAAUCUCUAUUAAGACCAAUGUGAGUAAGAGUCAAAAUUUUUGUCAUGGCUUCAGUGGUUUGUUUAAGGAUGUUCACUAUAUUAUUAAAAAGUGUGAAAUAUAAUCACAAAAGGCCUAAUGUAAACAUCAUAAUUUGGGAUUAACAUGAAUCAUUAUACCGAUUAAUGCAUAUAUGAAAAACAGAGGAUACAUUAUAAAAUUUAAAUACUGAUAUGUGAAUAAUGAUGGAUACCUAACAAAUUGGUUUGCUUUUGUUGGAGGUUUGUGAAUCGUAGGCUUUAAAAAAUAUUAUCAGUGAAUUUAUGAAUUAAUCAAUAAACAAUGUAGUGGAGAAUGAAGAGAAAGCGGGCCUUCCUGGACCAAUGAUGACAACUGCCGGCGUAUGAGUGUUGGGUGAUGAAUAACACGUGUCUAGAACUCUGAGGUGCAGCAUACAAAACACCUCAAUAAGCAAGGAUCAGUGGAGGAAUAUCUAGUUUUAAAAAAAUCAUCUUCUCUUUUUUGCACUCCUCAGAGUGAUAAUCUCGAGGUGAUUUAUGCAUUCUUCCAUGGCCACCAGCCUUAUGGUUGCAUCUCUGCGUUAGAGCCUAGAGAUCAAUGUGAGUAAUAGUCAAAGUUCUUGGUGUGGUUUAGGUGGUUUAAGGUAUUCACUGCAUUACUAAAAAGUGUGAAAUAUAAUCACAUAACGCCCGCUGUUACAAAAGACAAAUAUGAAGCAUUAUAUUGAUUAAUACAUGUGUGAAAAGCUGAGGAUAAUUAAAGCAGGAGAUACAUGGAGAUGAGAUGAUAGUAUGUACUGAUUAAGAAUAUCAAGACUGUUCUUGGGGUUUUGUGAAUCAUAGGGUUUUAAUUUAUUGUUAGUGAACUAAUGAUUAAAUCAACAGACAAUAUAGAAAUGAAUGGAGAAAAGGAGGCCCAAUCCUGGAUCGAUGAUGACCACUGGUGGCGUAUGAGUCAUACAUGAUGAAUAUGGGUCUGGAACUCUGAGGUCCUUCACAAAAGAAAUCAGGUCUUUUUGUUCAUGCAUUCUUAUGUGAUUAUUAUGAUUGGGUCAAUGAAAGAAUCAGUAAACAAAUUUAUAAAUGAAUCAAGGUAAAAUGGGGGAAACAUUGUCUAAUUAUAAAAAUUUGUAGUGAUGCAAGGAAUUUUGUUAAUAUAUAUAGAAAACACUAAAAUCCAAAGAGAAGUAAAUGGUACAUAAUGGUUUAUUUUGGCAAAGGAUGAUAUGGACAGUAUUAAUUAGAUAAUGUGUUUGUUCUGGGUCAGUAGCAAGUUCAAAAUUGUUCAUUUUAAGAAAAAACGAAAUAAAUAUCCUCCAAGUAAUGAUUGCCUGAAUUAAUGAUUAAAUGGAAGAUGAUAAGCAAGGAUCAAUGGAGGAUUUUCUCAUUUUUUAGUCAGCUGUUUUGCUCUGCACUCCUCAGAAUGGAUGCUUUAGAGGUGAGUCAAUCUCUCAUCCCUGCUCACCAGCACGUUGGCUGUAUCUCGUGUUAGAAUAUGAAGGCCAAUGUGAGUAAUAGUCAAUGUUCUUGUCUUUACUGGUGUAGCUUUUUAAAAAAGAUAUUUCCUAUAUUAUUAAAAUGUCUUAAAUAUAACCAGAGACCCAAACAUGCCAAUUUUACUAUCAGAUUGAUAGACAUAUUGUACUGAUUGGUCAAUAUAUGGACCAAAGAAGAUCAUUACCACAGAAGAUGGUAAUGAAGAGAUUUAGUCUGUGGAAAUGAAUCUGUAGAUGAAUGUUAGGAAUCUUUAUGAAUAUUAUUCUUGUAUUUACUGACCGAUGUGUAUUUCUUAUUAAUAAAUUAAUCAAUGGAUAAAUUUGUAUUAGUGUGAAAUCAAAGAGAUCCUGGACUGAUGAUGACUACUGGUAUGAGUCAUGCAUAAUGAACACCAUGUGUCUGGAACUCUGAGUUCCAACACAAAUGGGGUGUAAUCCAUUCCCCAUUUCGAAGGGAUCUUAUGCACUGAUGUCAGAAUAUAUGAGGACCUUGUUGUUGAUAUUUGUGUUCAUGAAUUUUAAAAAUAUUAUUGUAAAUGAAUCAAGGGCAGAAUAAACAAAUUUGUAAAUUAAUAGAGAUGAAGAGGGUGAAGCACUGUUUAUUACUAAGCUUCAUAGUAAGGAAAAUGAAUAUUAAUAGAAAUGGAAUGGGUAAUAAAUUGAUCAAGGAUAUUAUGUCUUGGACUAAGGAUGACAUAGAGUGUAAUAGGUAACAGUUCUUGCUCUCAUUCAGUUGCAAGUUUUGAAGUUUAUUACUUGCAAAAUAUAUAAAUAUUAGCAUAAAUUAAUAAAAGCCUAAAAGGCAGUGUUAACAAAUGGUAGACAACGUGGAUCAAUGGAGAGAACAUCUCAAUGUUUUUCUGUGCUUUCUACUCUUCAGAAUGAAUGCAGCGAGCUGUUUCAACCUUUCGGUUGGGAUCAAGAUUGUUGUGUCACCUCUGUGUUUGGAAAGAGACCAAGAAUGGAUACGCUCAGGUGAUUUAAGCAGUCUUCCAUGGCCAUGAGCUCUGUGGUUGCCUCUGUAUAUUAAGAGCACAGAGAUUAAAAACGGACCCACUCAAGCUGACUUCAGAAUUCCUCCUUGGUCACAAGCUUUUUGAUUGCAUGUCUGCAUUAGGAGCCUAGAGAACAAUAAUGGGUGCACUUGAGCCGAUUGAAACAUUCCUCCUUGCAUCUUUGUUCUAUGAUUGCAUCUAUUUGUUAGUAGCAUAGAGACCAAUAAUGGACAUCCUUGUUCUGUCUUGAGAAUUCCUCUAGGGUCACAUGCUCUGUUUGCACCAUGCUUAGGAAGGAGCACGGAGACCAACAAUGAUGCACUUUUUAUGAUUUGCGAAUUCCUCCAUGGUCACGUGCUCUGUUUUUAUCAUGGUUGGGAGCCUGCAGACCAAUGUGAGUAGUAAUCAACAUUCGCAUCUUGGCCCAAAUGGUUUGUUUAAGAGGACUCAGGGUAUUAUCAAAAAGCCUAUAAUAUAAACAGAAUGGUCAACUGUAUUUAAGUGAUAGAUAUUGGAGUGAUAUGAAGCAUUAUAUUGAUAAUGCAUAUAUGAAAAAUUGAGGGUAAUGAAACAGAUAUAUUGAUGUUAGAAUGAUUCCAUGUACAGAUUGGGAAUAUCAAGGCUCUUCUUGGAGCUCUUUGAAUCAGACUCCUUAAUGUUGUUAUUAGUGAAUUGGUAAAUUAAUCACAAAAAUAUAGGCAUGAAUGGAGAAAAGGAAGACCAAUCCUGGAUCGAUGAUGACUACUGGUGGCGUAUGAGUCAUAGACAAUGAAUACGUGUCUGGAACUCUGAGGUCCAUCACAGUGGAAAUGUAUACAUUCCUUCUGCUUAAAAUGAUGUUAUAGACAGAUUUCAGAAAUAUAGAAUGUACUUAUUUUUCUCGGUGGUUGUGUAUUUUUGUUCUAUUUUUAUAAUUGGAUCAAUGAAAGUAAUCAAUAACAUAUAAAUAAA